AAGAGAAAAAUAGUAUAUAUAUUUGAAAUAAUGGCCUUAAUUUAUUUCUUUAGUUUAAUUUAUAUAAAUUCUUCCUUAAUGCAGAAGAUAUUUGUUCUUUGAAUACAGACUCCAAAGUUUUGAUUGGUAAUCAUUUCGUUGUUUGUGGGAAUAUAUGCCCAACAAUAUUACAAUUUCCCGUCAUUUUUUAUUCAGCAAUUAUAUUAUCGUGCAAGUAAAGUGUGACUACAUUAUAAAUUGAUUAUUAAUCAUAACAUUUUCAAUCGUAUAAAAUUCAACUUAGUAACACUCAUAUAUAAUUGCUCUUUUUGCCUAAUUUAUACCACUCACAUUAGCUUCUUAAAUAUUAUACAAAAGAAUGAGGAAACGAAAGAUGAAUUAAGUUAAAAUAUUUUAAAGAAAAGAUAUUCUAUAUUUUGUAGAAUAAUUGUAGCAAAAAUGUGAACAUUUUGCAUUUUACAAAAAUUGAUAAAACACUAUUUUUUUUUUAGAUAGAUGAUAUAUAAAGCAUAUUUAAUUUCUUAAUAUUUUGUAGAAACCCAACUGAUUUGGGACACCUUUAUAGAAGAUGAAUAAAGAAUAAGUGCUAAAAUUUGAUGUUGUAGAGUAAAAUUUAGGCCACCAAAUUUACUUACUGCAAUCAAUCAUGCAUUGCAGAUCCAACUAACUAACCCCUAUAAAUAGUCUGAUCAUUAUCUUAGUACUUCUCUGGUGGCUGCUGGGUUGGUUUGGGAAGAGAUGGCAUGGGACCAAUCCAAAGACAAUGUGUAGUUAGGUAUCAACAUCACAUUCACAACCAUUAAUCCUAGGGACCAUAGGGGGAUAUGGUAUGUUGUAUGUGGACUAAACUGUACCAAACCACCCAAGAUUCCACAACAAACUCUUGACCUGUGGUUCAUUGAAGCUCCAACCAUUUCAUUUCAUCUAAAAGUGUUUACACUAUUAUCUUACUAGUUGUGGCCCAAUCCCAUCAAUCCCUACCUUUUAGUGAUUGUUCAUAUACUAAAUCAUGCUCCCCAGACUUUGAUAUCUACCAAAUCAUGCCCCUCAAACUUUGAUAUGUACCAAAUCAUGCCUCCUGAACUUUUAUCCAUGUUAGAAUUUUUUUACUAAAAUUAGAGAAAAAUCCUUAAAUCUAACAAUCUUAAUAGUUCAGGGAGAAUUUUUAACGGCCAAAAGAAUUUAGGGGCAUGAUUUAGUACAUGUUAAAGUUUGAAGGGAAUUGCUAUUUGCAUGAAGAAAAAAAAUAUCUUUAUUCCUUCAACCUUACAUCUCAACUCUAUUGUUGUGUAAUGAUGAAGCUUAAAUUGAGCUGAACCAAAGCCUGUUUAUCAAACAGACCAGCACUUUUCUUAAUUGGUAGCAGGGUGUGAUUUUCAAAAGAGUGUCAUCAGUUGUUGUUGCUCAAGGCUGGUGUGAGUUCAAAUCCUUACUUUUGAGAAACAGUUACAACAAACAAAUAUGUAUAGAUAUAUAGAGCUAUACAUUACAUUAAGACACUUUUCCGGUAUAUUUUAAACUUGGACCAUAUUACUGGCUACAGAAAGUAAUAGCUGAGCAGGCUAGAUUGGGCCUUGAUAGAGUGUCUAUAGUCUUUGGGCUCACUAAACCUGUUCAUAGUCCAAUUGUUUCUUGCUGAUAGGGUCUGUCUGGGUUUUGUAAUGGGCUUUUUAAGGUUGAUAUGCAUUAUGCAAUUUUCAUACACAAGAUGCUACACCUAUCAUACAUUCAUGACAAUGUACCUAGUUUUAUGAGUACAUCUAAUAUUUUGUAGUUCUAUCCAAAUUCGAUUCAUUUAUAUAUUUAAUGGUCGAUCAGUUCUAUCCGUUAAA